rnacentral:lncRNA from 1 species
ACACCGCUUUCUCCGCGCGCUGAUGGAGGAUUCCUGGCCUCACAGCAGUGCCUGGCCUGUGGGCGUCCCCGGCAGUCCUCGGCUGCGGGACCUGUAUCGGGACUGCGCAAAGUGGGCUUCCAGGAGAGCAGGGCGUCCCUCAGUCAGCUGACCCCUUGGAGCGUGGGGCAGCCCAGGCCCGUGAGGCCGCCAGUGUCACCCUCAGGCCCGCGAGGCCCCCGAGCCCCUUGUGGGGUCCAAGGCCCAUUCUGGAUCAGUCACGAGGCAAGACCGCGGACCCUCAGGAGAUCACCAGGAGCCCGCCGCGCAUUCCUCCGCCUCCACCACGCCAGUCACCUGCUCAGCCCGAGGGCAGCCAGCGGCCGUCGCCCCAGUGAGGCGGCCGGUGAGGAGCUGAGGCCGUGACCAGGGCAGCGCCCCGCGAGUCAGCGUCAGUCCCCGCGCCAGCCAGUUCCUCAGACAAUCAGGAUGAAGAACCCACAUCCCAGGAAAAGUAGGUUUGAGGAGGAAGACAGUUGGCUUAACUUUGGCC